rnacentral:rRNA from 2 species
GAUUUCUGGUUCGGCGCAUUUGGCCCGUCUCGGUUUACGGGAUUGUGUGCCGACGUGCGCCAUCCAUCCUUCGAGAGAACACUUCUACCCUUCACUGGGUCGGGAGUGCUAUCUCGAUCUUUUACUUUGAAAAAAUUAGAGUGUUUAAAGCAGGCUUGCGCUAUGAAUACAUUAGCAUGGAAUAAUAAUUUAGGACUUUGGUCUUAUUUUGUUGGUUUCUAGGACUAAAGUAAUGAUUGAUAGGGACAGUUGGGGGUGCUAGUAUUCAGCGGCCAGAGGUGAAAUUCUUGGAUUCGCUGAAGACUAACUUAUGCGAAAGCAUU